UACGAAGGGUGCAAACGUUGCUCGGAAUUAUUGGGCGUAAAGCGCACGUAGGCGGCUUUGCAAGUCGGAUGUGAAAUCCCUCGGCUCAACCAAGGAAGUGCAUCCGAAACUGCAGAGCUUGAGUACUUAAGAGGAUCGCGGAAUUCCCGGUGUAGAGGUGAAAUUCGUAGAUAUCGGGAGGAACACCAGUGGCGAAGGCGGCGAUCUGGGAAGAUACUGACGCUGAGGAGCGAAAGCGUGGGGAGCGAACAGG
rnacentral:rRNA from 1 species